CCUACGGGUGGCAGCAGUGGGGAAUAUUGGGCAAUGGGCGCAAGCCUGACCCAGCAACGCCGCGUGAAGGAAGAAGGCUUUCGGGUUGUAAACUUCUUUUCUCAGGGACGAAGCAAGUGACGGUACCUGAGGAAUAAGCCACGGCUAACUACGUGCCAGCAGCCGCGGUAAUACGUAGGUGGCAAGCGUUAUCCGGAUUUACUGGGUGUAAAGGGCGUGUAGGCGGGAAAGCAAGUCAGAUGUGAAAACCACGGGCUCAACCUGUGGCCUGCAUUUGAAACUGUUGAACUGGAGUACAGGAGAGGUAAGCGGAAUUCCUAGUGUAGCGGUGAAAUGCGUAGAUAUAAGGAAGAACACCAGUGGCGAAGGCGGAUUACUGGACGGUAACUGACGGUGAGGCGCGAAAGCGUGGGGAGCAAACAGGAUUAGAUACCCUAGUAGUC
rnacentral:rRNA from 1 species